rnacentral:rRNA from 1 species
GCAAGUCGAACGCGGAAGUUUUUUUCGGAAAGCGAGUAGAGUGGCCACGGGUGAGUAACGCGUAUAUAAUCUAUCCAGAUGUCUGGGAUAACCUACCGAAAGGUGGACUAAUAACGGAUAUGCUUGCAUGCAAGCAAAGGUGGCCUCUGAUAUAAGCUACUGCAUGAGGAGGGGUCUGCGUACCAUUAGCUAGUUGGUGGGGUAAGGGCCUACCAAGGCGACGAUGGUUAACGGGUCUGAGAGGAUGAUC